UUGUUCCCUUUGGUAGCAGUUAUUCUAAAAUUAGAAUGAUACAGAGAAGAUCAACAUGGGCCCUGUUCAAGGAUGGUAUGCACAUUCAUGAGGAAUUCAUUUUUUAA